rnacentral:rRNA from 1 species
GAUGAACGCUGGCGGCGUGCCUAAUACAUGCAAGUCGAGCGAAUGGAUUGAGAGCUUGCUCUUAUGAGGUUAGCGGCGGACGGGUGAGUAACACGUGGGUAACCUGCCCAUAAGACUGGGAUAACUCCGGGAAACCGGGGCUAAUACCGGAUAACAUUUUGAACCGCAUGGUUCGAAAUUGAAAGUCGGCUUCGGCUGUCACUUAUGGAUGGACCCGCGUCGCAUUAGCCAGUUGGUGAGGUAACGGCUCACCAAGGCAACGAUGCGUAGCCGACCUGAGAGGGUGACCGGCCACACUGGGACUGAGACACGGCCCAGACUCCUACGGGAGGCAGCAGUAGGGAAUCUUCCGCAAUGGACGAAAGUCUGACGGAGCAACGCCGCGUGAGUGACGAAGGCUUUCGGGUCGUAAAACUCUGUUGUUAGGGAAGAACAAGUGCUAGUUGAAUAAGCUGGCACCUUGACGGUACCUAACCAGAAAGCCACGGCUAACUACGUGCCAGCCGCCGCCGUAA